rfam:Triticum aestivum genome assembly, contig: Triticum_aestivum_CS42_TGACv1_scaffold_221015_3B
CUUAUACUCCCUCUGUCUGGAAUUGGUUGUCUUAAAAAUGGAUAAAAAUGGAUGUAACUAAAACUAAAAUACAUCUAGAUACAUCCAUUCCUCUGACAAGUAUUUCCAGACGAAGGGAGUAUUAU